CACGUAAGCAACCUGCCUAUCAGAGGGGAAUAACAGUGAGAAAUCAUUGCUAAUACCGCAUAAGCUAGUAGUAUCACAUGAUACAGCUAGAAAAGGAGUAAUCCGCUGAUAGAUGGGCUUGCGCCUAAUUAGCUAGUUGGUGGGGUAACGGCCUACCAAGGCGACGAUCAGUAGCCGAACUGAGAGGUUGAACGGCCACAUUGGGACUGAGAUACGGCCCAGACUCCUACGGAAGGCAGCAG
rnacentral:rRNA from 1 species